rnacentral:rRNA from 1 species
UACGAAGGGUGCAAACGUUGCUCGGAAUCAUUGGGCGUAAAGCGCACGUAGGCGGCCUGAUAAGUCGGAUGUGAAAUCCCUCGGCUCAACUGAGGACGUGCAUUCGAAACUGCCAGGCUCGAGUAUGGAAGAGGGUCGCGGAAUUCCCGGUGUAGAGGUGAAAUUCGUAGAUAUCGGGAGGAACACCAGUGGCGAAGGCGCCGCUCUGGGCCGUGACUGACGCUGAGGAGCGAAAGCGUGGGUAGCAAACAGG